rnacentral:rRNA from 2 species
GAGUGAAGAAGGGUUUCGGCUCGUAAAACUCUGUUGUUAGAGAAGAACAGCCGUGAGAGCAACUGCUCACGGUAUGACGGUAUCUAACCAGAAAGUCACGGCUAACUACGUGCCAGCAGCCGCGGUAAUACGUAGGUGGCAAACGUUGUCCGGAUUUAUUGGGCGUAAAGGGAGCGCAGGCGGUUUAUUAAGUCUGAUGUGAAAGCCUUCGGCUUAACCGGAGAAGUGCAUCGGAAACUGAUAAACUUGAGUGCAGAAAAGGAUAGUGGAACUUCAUGUGUAGCGGUGAAAUGCGUAGAUAUAUGAAGGAACACCAGUGGCGAAGGCGGCUAUCUGGUCUGUAACUGACGCUGAGGCUCGAAAGCAUGGGUAGCAAACAGGAUUAGAUACCCUGGUAGUCCAUGCCGUAAACGAUGAAUGCUAGGUGUUGGAAGGUUUCCGCCUUUCAGUGCCGCAGCUAACGCAUUAAGCAUUCCGCCUGGGGAGUACGACCGCAAGGUUGAAACUCAAAGGAAUUGACGGGGACCCGCACAAGCGGUGGAGCAUGUGGUUUAAUUCGAUGCUACGCGAAGAACCUUACCAGGACUUGACAUCUUCUGCCAAUCUAAGAGAUUAGACGUUCCCUUCGGGGACAGAAUGACAGGUGGUGCAUGGUUGUCGUCAGCUCGUGUCGUGAGAUGUUGGGUUAAGUCCCGCAACGAGCGCAACCCUUGUCUUUAGUUGCCAGCAUUAAGUUGGGCACUCUAGAGAGACUGCCGGUGAUAAACCGGAGGAAGGUGGGGAUGACGUCAAAUCAUCAUGCCCCUUAUGUCCUGGGCUACACACGUGCUACAAUGGGCGAUACAACGAGUUGCGAAACCGCGAGGUCAAGCUAAUCU